ACAGUCGUCCUUGCCGGUUGAGCAGUUCGGGCUCCCUCUCGCUCUAUAUAAUUUUACUCCAUCACUGCAAACCUUUCAGCUCACAUUCUUAGACUCUCUCUCCCUCUGAAACUCAAGAAUUCUUGCUCCUACAGUGCCUCAACAGAGAGAGACUGCAGAUUCCUAUUCGCAAUAAAAGUCCAUGGCUCCAGUGGCAGCUUCAGAUUCAAUAAAUCCUAGAGAUGUCUGCAUUGUUGGCGCUGCUCGUACGCCUAUGGGUGGAUUUCUUGGCACACUUUCAUCUCUCUCUGCCACCAAGCUUGGAUCCAUAGCUAUUGGAGCUGCUCUUAAGAGGGCAAAUGUUGACCCAUCACUUGUACAAGAAGUAAUCUUUGGUAAUGUGUUGAGCGCUAAUUUGGGGCAGGCUCCUGCAAGACAAGCUGCAUUAGGUGCUGGAAUUCCUAAUUCUGUUAUCUGUACCACUGUUAACAAAGUCUGUGCAUCAGGGAUGAAAGCGACAACGCUCGCAGCACAGAGUAUCCAAUUGGGUAUCAAUGAUGUUGUUGUGGCUGGUGGCAUGGAGAACAUGUCUAAUGUGCCGAAAUAUCUGGCUGAAGCAAGGAAGGGAUCUAGACUUGGACAUGAUUCACUAGUUGAUGGAAUGCUGAAAGAUGGGUUGUGGGAUGUUUAUAAUGACUGUGGCAUGGGAAAUUGUGCUGAAAUUUGUGCUGAUAAUCAUUCUAUUACAAGGGAGGACCAGGAUGACUAUGCAGUAAAGAGCUUUGAGCGUGGCAUUGCUGCCCAAGAUAGUGGUGCCUUUUCUUGGGAAAUUGUUCCGGUUGAGGUUUCUGGAGGAAGGGGUAGACCAUCGACAAUAGUUGAUAAGGAUGAAGGAUUAGGGAAGUUCGAUCCUGCAAAAUUGAGAAAGCUCCGACCAAGUUUCAAGGAGACUGGAGGCACAGUUACCGCAGGAAAUGCAUCCAGCAUAAGUGAUGGUGCUGCUGCAUUAGUGCUUGUGAGUGGAGAGACUGCACUCAAGCUUGGGCUCCAUGUUAUUGCAAAGAUUACGGGAUAUGCUGAUGCUGCUCAUGCACCAGAGUUAUUUACUACGGCACCAGCCCUUGCAAUACCAAAAGCUAUCUCAAAUGCUGGCUUGGAUGCUUCUCAAGUUGAUUAUUAUGAAAUUAAUGAAGCAUUUGCUGUUGUGGCUCUUGCAAAUCAGAAACUGCUUGGACUUAAUCCUGAAAAGGUUAAUGUACAUGGUGGAGCUGUAGCGUUGGGACAUCCGCUGGGUUGUAGUGGAGCUCGUAUCUUGGUCACACUGUUGGGGGUACUGAAGCAGAAAAAUGGAAAAUAUGGUGUUGGUGGUGUCUGCAACGGUGGAGGAGGGGCAUCUGCACUUGUUGUGGAGCUUGUUUAAGCCUUUUCAUGUCUGGUGAAAAGGAUCAUUUUUAGAUAUUGAAACUCCAUAGUCUCCAUUUCUGCAGAACUCGAACUUCUUGAUACACAUGCUGGGCGUGAUGAUCGGGACUUUUAGAAUGUCGUGCAUUUGCCCUCCAUUUAUUUUUAUUUUUUUGCCUUUUUGAUAGUACUCUCUCCACGAAUAAAGUAAAAAGUGUAUUUGUCUCGUUUUCAUAGUUUCAUUAGGAAUAAUUCCUCAUGUUUUACUCUCUUGGUAGCAAUUUAUUGGACAAGGUGGAAGAUAAGAAUCUUA